rnacentral:lncRNA from 1 species
UUUUUUUUUCCACAAAGGAACUUAGGUGGUAGCUGUAUUACUAAUUAGCUACAGAAGUUAUAUAUUCUUAUGAGUAUGGUAUGGAUGCAGGUUUGCUAUGUUGCUUUUUGGGAUGAAAUUACUUUAAAUACAGAGGAAAAAUUGAUUGAUAUUGGGUUUUACGCAGAAAUCUAAACACUUUGUUGCUGAAGGCGCUACGAGGUAUGCAGACUGUUGGGAGAUUUGGACAUUAUAUUCUCUAUCUGCUGCUAUUUUAUUACUUUUUUUUUUCUUGGAAUUACAGUACAAGUAUAUAAAUGUAUGAACACUUUGGGUCGUAGAUGUGGUGAGCUAUACACGAAUCAUUUGAGAUGCAGGGCUAUUAUAAUCAAAUUAGAUGUGGCGAGCCAUACACGAAUCAUUUGAGAUGCAGGGCUAUUAUAAUUGAAUUAGAUGUGGUGAGCCAUACACGAAUCAUUCAAAAUUUCUGGACUUUUUUGUUUUUAUAUAUGCCGUUUGGCUAUAAAAUUUGUGAUUACAUGCCCAGAUAAAAUUUCACAUCGAGAUUUCAAACAUUGUACUGCAUCAUGGAUAAGAACAAAAAUUGACCUUCUAAAACAUAUGUAAAGUUAUAGUUUCCGGAUACAAACUGUCCAGGUAAAUAAAAUCUUUUACUGUCAAGUCUUAGUAAUUCUAGUAUAACUAAGUAAUGUCUUUUUCUGGUUUUGUCUGCCAUGUGUGUUAUGAUGUGUUCUAGCUAAUGGACUAUCUAAAAAUGUUAUGGUUUUCAUAGCGGUAUUUACGCAGUCUUUCUCUCUCAACUGGGUUUUCUCUGUCGUUGGCCCAAUUCAUUCUGCAGCAGAUUGUUCGACAAGUUGGUAGGGCAAAUUGUACUUUGCUCUGCAUAUGAGCAAUGUCUAAGUUUUACCUAUUUUGAUAAUGCUUGGUUUGUACUUCUUGAUUUUUAAUUUGGUUUUUGUGUAUUGAGUUGGAUAGACAGUUCAUAGGUUUUGUUCCAUAUUUAUUCGGAGAAGAAAAAUACAAAGAGGACAACACAAUAACCCUAGCACGAUUAUGUAUGGAUUGAAUUAAAUCUAUUAAAGAAUUAUAUUUUGGGUGUGUUGUUAGGAAGAAACAUCUACACUCCAAAUCUUUAUGAAUUUGACUCCUUAUAAAAUAGGUUAAUUGUAUGCGUUACUUCUUUUAGCACUAAAUCUUUUGUUAAAUUUCAUUUUUGUUUAGUUUUUGACUUUCCUUUGGGAGGACUUUUAAUUAAGCAUGCAUCUUUGGUGUAAUACAAUUAUAUUCUUGAGGUUUGGAUUUUUUACUCUUACUUUUCUGCCCAUUAUGAUCUAACGGAAGACGUGGCAUAGAAUCGAGCACAAUGGCGUUCUAGGCUUCAUACAGUUGACCCCACUUAGUGGGAAAUGCUUUGUUGUUGUUGUUGUACUUUUAUGUCCAUUAUAUGUUUGAGCAUCUAUCUUUUGGCUUAUUAUCAAUGAAAAAUUAUUAUACGAGGAUUUUGACUAUUGACUUAUCAAUGGUAUAUUUAUUAGAAAACUAGAUUAACAUCCUUUCACAAAAUUCAAUUUUAAAAAAAACCGAGUGUAAGAUCUAAUAUUUAAUUUUGAUCCUUUGACUUUAUAUUCAACUCAGCAACUUUCCAUAUAGGAGUUAAAUAGUCAAUUAAUUAAAAGAAUUAUUUUUGUUUGUUCCUAAAUCGCCCUUUUCCUAUGAUUUAGCUAAUAAAUAUUGACUAUUAGGCCUUUGAGCUUUCAUGUUUAUUUUGAAAUCAAUAAAAACAAAUAUUUUUACUAAAUGUCUAUACGGGUUGCACAAUCAGGUCUCAUUUAUGAAGAGGAACAUGUCCAACUCACAUACACACUUCUCCUUUAUAUUAUCUCUUAUCUCUCUCAAUUGUAUAUUCUCAUGAUUCGUAUGUUUCUUGCAUUAUGGAAAAGCUAAGGCUAGCAAAUCUAUUUUUUACUUAUGAAUUGUGUUUAUUCGUGUAUGAUAAUUUUUUGUCUAUGGAGAUUGACAAGUACGUAUUUUUAAAUCUAUGAUUUGUGUACUGAUAUGAAGAUACAUGGAGUAAAGUUUGCAUACCGAAAUUACGUACCUAUGUUUAUGCCCUUAUACUUCCGUACCUAUGUCUAUGCAUUUAUACUUCCGUACCUAUGUUUAUGCCCUUAUAUUCUGUACCUAUGCCUAUGCACUUAUACUUCCGUACCUAUGCCUAUGCACUUAUACGCUUAUACUUCCGUACCUACGCCUAUGCACUUAUACUUCCGUACCUAUGCCUUUGCACUUAUACUUCCGUACCCAUGUAUAGCACUUUGUUAAUGUACUUAAAAAUUUUUAUGGGUGUUCUUCUUUUUUCUUAUGGAGAUGGGAAUUGUGUUAGUGAUGAUGUUUUGCUUUUCUUUUUUAAUGUAUUUUUGUCAUAUCUUUCACUAUUAUGUUCACAAUUAAUCAAUAUAAAAAAUUUCAUUUAUUUUCUUGCACCUAUUAGUACUUUCCAAAAAUUUUAAAAUUUUAGAAUUUUGAUUUAAGUGUAUAAAUGGGAGAUUUGAGUGUGAAAGUCAAUUUCCAAUUUUUAGCCUUAAUUAUUAAUUGAAUAUGUGGAUGGCAAGUUUGUAAAUAGUAUAUGUGAUAAAGGCAAUUAAAUAUGACAUGGCGUUAAGAUUUUAAAAUAGGGACUUAAAUUGGAUAGAGAAAACCAUGCAGGUUAUAAUCUAAAAGUAAUCUUAUUUAGGUCCUAAAAUCUAAAAGCCCC